rnacentral:lncRNA from 1 species
AAUUCGAAUUAGCAAAAAGCAAUGUCUCCUUGCAUAAUAUGGAUUCCAAACAUUCAUGAUCUGGAUGUGAAUGAGUCGAAUUACUUAUCCCUCGGUCUAUUAGUGAACUAUCUCUCCAGGGAUUGUGAAAGAUGUUCCACUAGAAAUAUUCUUGUUAUUGCUUCGACUCAUAUUCCCCAAAAAGUGGAUCCCGCUCUAAUAGCCCCGAAUAAAUUAAAUACAUGCAUUAAGAUACGAAGGCUUCUUAUUCCACAACAACGAAAGCACUUUUUCACUCUUUCAUAUACUAGGGGAUUUCACUUGGAAAAGAAAAUGUUCCAUACUAAUGGAUUCGGGUCCAUAACCAUGGGUUCCAAUGCACGAGAUCUUGUAGCACUUACCAAUGAGGCCCUAUCGAUUAGUAUUACACAGAAGAAAUCAAUUAUAGACACUAAUACAAUUAGAUCUGCUCUUCAUAGACAAACUUGGGAUUUGCGAUCCCAGGUAAGAUCGGUUCAAGAUCAUGGGAUCCUUUUCUAUCAGAUAGGGAGGGGCUGUUGCACAAAAUGUACUUCUAAGUAAUUGCCGCCAUAGAUCCUAUAUCUAUCUAUAUGAAGAAGAAAUCGUGUAACGAAAGGGGAUUCUUAUUUGUACAAAUGGUACUUCGAACUUGGAACGAGCAUGAAAGAAAUUAACGAUACUUCUUUAUCUUUUGAGUUGUUUCUGCCGGAUCGGUCGCUCAAGACCUUUGGUCUCACCCGGACCCGCUGAAAAAACGGGAUCACUUCUUCUGGACUCGUUGAGAAUGAUUCUGAUCUAGUCCAUGGCCUAUUAGAAGUAGAAGGCGCUCUGGUGGGAUCCUCGCGGACAGAAAAAGAUUGAUUGCAGUCGGUUGAUAAUGAUCGAGUGACAUUGCUUCUUCGGCCCGAACCNNNNNUUAAUUAAUUAANNNNNUUCUAUUUCUAGGAUUAAAACAAAAGGAUUCGCAAAUAAAAGUGCUAAUGCUACAACCAGCCCAUAAAUUGUUAAAGCUUCCAUAAAAGCCAGACUAAGCAAUAAAGUACCUCGUAUUUUUCCCUCUGCCUCGGGCUGUCUCGCGAUCCCUUCUACUGCCUGGCCCGCAGCAGUACCUUGACCAACUCCAGGUCCAAUAGAAGCAAGCCCAACAGCCAACCCAGCAGCAAUAACGGAAGCGGCAGAAAUCAGUGGAUUCAUGAUAAGUCCUCGCACUAAAAUAAAGAAAAACUAAAGAAAUCGUUAAUGAUACAAUCGUCCAAUAAAUUAUGACUUAAUUAUUCCGUCACUAGGAUUCGCCCAGCCGAAGUAACUAAGAACUCCCAAUUGGCGUAAUAAUAAUAUUAUUAUUGAACCAUCAAAACUUUUUAGAUAUCUCUUUUUAGUUUCGAUCCACAGGCACAACACAGGAUUUUGUAAAUCCAUACGACUUUUGUUCUUCCAUUUCUUUUUUCGGAACCCUUUUUUGAAUUCUUCGUUCGUUUUCUUUUCUUUCAUCUCUUUAUUUUUAUUGAUUCAAUUCCCAGUCAAAGCAUCAAAGCAAAGACGAAAUCGAACAAUUUCUAAAUUUCUAUUAGAAUCCUAUCGAAAUUCACAAUAAUCACAAGAGUAGGGUGGAUUAGAUAUAUCUUUAGUUCAUAUAUAACUAGCAAUAUCUAAUAUCCCAUAUACAUGUCUUUCUUACAGAACGUAAACCAACUAUUAAUAUCUUAGACUCCAAGUAUUCGUAUCUUAAAGUCAAUCGUAUUCUCGAACCCCUUUUAAAACUCAAAAAAUACACAAGAGUUGGCAUUUGAUUCCAUAUACCUAAUUAUGUACCCCUCGCCGAAUCACCCCGUUUUUAUAAAUCUCUUUUUUUUUUCUAUUCCUUUUCGUUAUCAUUAUCCACCAGGCUACAAUCGAAAUAGACGAAUUCAUUGGGGCGAAUCAUUGCAUAGAACUAAAUAUCAGUAUUUGAUUGAGGUACGGCCAUGCAAUUUAUUAUAUUAAUAUUCUCUUUUGGUCAAUCGUUGAAUUGAAGAAUUGACUAAAAGCAACUAAAAGGGGAAUUAUUUUAUAAAGCAUCUUUCUUUUCUUUUUUUUUAAUCACCCGCCUGUGAUACUAUAAGAAUUUUUAUUCAACUUAUCACUCUUGGUAUUUGCUAUUCGAAUUGAAUGAACAAAAAUGAACAAAACAUAUAAAGAAAAUAUUAAUUGGCGGGAGAGGGGGGGAUGAUAUAAUAAGGCCAAGAGGAAUUUGAGGAAAAAGAUCCUUUAGAUCUCUUUCCUACAAUUCCCCAAUAUCGUAAUUUUUUUUCUACGACUCUUGAUCGUAUAUGCGGUAUUUGUAGAUUUAUGUUUGGAUAUGUAUUUUUCCUAAGUAGAAGUAUAAGUAGAUUAUCUUGAGUUACGCAUCCAUUGCCUUUGUUCUAAGCUACAAAAAAAGACUAUUUCGAAAACGAGUCAAUGAUGUCCCUCCAUAGAUUCGCCUAUAUAAGCCGCAGCUAAAGUUGCAAAAAUAAGAGCUUGAAUACCGCUUGUAAAUAAUCCAAGGAACAUGACGGGUAUAGGAACCACUAAAGGUACUAAAGAAACAAGAACAACAACUACUAAUUCAUCGGCUAAUAUAUUCCCAAAAGUCGAAAACUAAGUGAUAGAGGUUUUGUGAAAUCUUCUAAAAUGUUAAUGGGUAAAAGAAUUGGAGUCGGUUGAAUGUAUUUACUGAAAUAGCCUAAUCCCUUUUUGGAAAGACCCGCAUAGAAGUAUGCUAUUGACGUGAGCAAAGCUAAAGCAACGGUAGUAUUUAUAUCAUUCGUGGGUGCGGCUAACUCCCCAUGAGGUAACUCUAUGAUUUUCCAAGGUAAAAGAGCACCUGACCAAUUAGAAACAAAAAUAAAAAGAAACAGAGUUCCAAUAAAGGGAACCCAUGGGCCAUAUUCUUCUCCAUCUGAGUUUUGCUCACGUCUCGAAUGAAUUCAAGGACAUAUUCGAAGAAAUUUUGAGUGGCAGUCGGAACGGUUUGUGGAUUCCGAACGGCUAUAAAGGCUGAACCUAAUAAGAUAGCAAUUACAACCCAAGAAGUAAUAAGUACUUGGGCAUGGACCUGGAACCACCUAUUUGCCAAUAGAAAUGUUGGCCUACUUCCACACCGGAUAUAUCGUAUAACCCCUUAGUGUAUUCAUGGAACAUGAUAGAACAUUCAUAUUGCCCUCUGACCCGAAAUAGAAAUUUAAAAAGAAUUAUUUUGAUUCAACAUCUUCUUUUCGACUUGUCUACUUGAAUUGUAUAUUUUGAAUAUCUGCUAAUUGCAUAAUAUCCACCAGGUUUGUCUCUUUUCUUUUGUGCAAUUCAGGAAUAGUACCCAAUCCAUAAAUCUAUGGAGUUACCAAAAUAAUUUAUUUAUCUUAUUAUUAAUCAAGGAUUUCGUAUAUAGCUAGAGCGACCCUCACAAAUUGCGGAAUACUAAUUUGUUAAGAAUUAAUCGGAUUGAGGCUAUAGCGUCAUCGUUUGCCUGGAAUCGAAAUAUCUGCGAGAUCGGGGUCACAAUUUGUAUCGAUUAAACAAAUUGUUGGAAUUCCCAAAGUGAUACAUUCUCGAAGAGCCGUAUAUUCUUCUUGCUGAUCAACGACGAUUACAAUAUCGGGUACCCUCGUCAUAUAUUUAAUCCCGCCCAGAUACGUUUUGCAGACGCGAUAAUUGUCUCUUCAAAUAGCGGCAUCCCUUUUGGGAAGACUGUCGAGUCUCCCCCCUUUUUGUUCCGUUCUCAAAUCCCUGAACUUGUUGAAGUCGCGUUUCUGGUAGUGGACCAAUUGGUUAACAUACCGCCGAGCCAUUUUUGAUUAACAUAAUGGCACCGAGCCUUAUUGCAGCUCGCGGCGACUAAAUCAGCUGCUUUAUUUUUAGUACCAACAAUUAAGAAUUGUUUUCCCCUACUUGCUGCAUCAAAAACUAAAUCACAAGCUUCUGAUAAAAACCGAGCAGUUCGAGUCAGAUUUGUAAUAUGAAUACCUUUAUGUUUUUGCAGAUAUAUAAGGUGCCAUUCUAGGAUUCCAUUUCCGAGUACCAUGACCAAAAUGAAUUCCUGCUUCCAUCAUCUCUUCCAAAUGGAUGUUCCAAUACCUUCUUGCCAUUUCUCCCCACUUCCUCUUUUUUUUUUUAAGAGACGAGCGCCCUGAAAUAAAUAAUUGUUCCGAGGAACCUUCUCUUCUACCAGAGAGUGACCAUUGAUACACGACCCAGGCAUUCAUUACUUUCUAUUCAUUAUUAUCCUUCGUUCUAUUCAUUAUUAUCUUUCUUUCGUACCAUUAAAAAAUCAAAUGAUCACAAAUAGUUAAAAGAAUUCGCUCCUAGGACUCAUUAAACCCUCUAAGCCAAUUGUGCUCUGAUGUAUCAUGGAAAGUCGUUGAAAUGCAGCGAGUCAAAUAAUUCUCUGUGGUGUAAGAAAAUAUCUCUCAUUUCCCCCCCGAAUAAAUUCCCUUUUUGUCUUUCCAAAAGAAUGUUGUUAUGCUGCCUUGAACAGUGGACUAAUCCUUUGAAUCCGGUACCGACUGGUAUUAUCCCCCCCAGAACAACGUUUUCUUUCAGGCCUUUCAACCAAUCGAUACGACCUCGGAGAGCAGCUUUUGCUAAACUCGCGUGGUUUCUUGAAAACUUGCUUCGGAUAUAAAACUUUGAGUAUUCAGAGACGCUCUCGUUAUUCCCAAUAAGAUAGCUCCGAUAACAGAUCACUUCUUCCAAAGCGCCCCCAUUCGUUCCGCUCGUAACAAUCCAAUCAGUUCGCCGGGUAAAAAAAUAUUAGACAUUCCAUCUUCGGAAACUAAAACUUUUGAUGUUAUUUGACGUACAAUAAUUUCUAUAUGCCUAUUAUGGAUCUGCACCCCCUGCGAUCGAUAAACCUUUUGGAUCUUAUUAACCAAAGAGAUACGACUUUGCACUAUAGUUAGCUCAGCACCAAUCAAGAAUCCCCAGGGAAUCCCAAGAAUUCUUGUUAUACUCGCGUUCCAACCCUCAACUCUCUUUUCUAGGUUCAUCGAUAUUGAAUCAAGCGAACGCACUUCUAACACCCCUUCUACUUUUGGAAGACCCUGCGUUAUAUCACCAGAUCUCGAUUUUUCAUAUAUAAAUGUAACUAAUGUAUCCCUUCGUAAAGGAUUGCUCCAUAAUGCCCAUGAACAGUUGCUCCAGGAGUAGCCAAAUAAGGCUUAGCUGAUCGUAUUACUACAGAGUUAACUUGAACAAUUAAAACUUGACCGGAUUUUAGGUAUGGUCCCCUUUUGGUUAUACGUACAUUUUCACAAAGAAACUGCCCAAGACUAAUUAUCGGGGACAUUUCCUCACAAUAAUUAGGCUGGAGAAAAUACCAAUUCAAAUUAAAUGGAUUCAAAAGGAUCUUACUAUCUGUAUCAGGAUUAUAAAUUUCCCCGGUUUCGUCCAUUAAAUAAUAUUUAAGUACUUGAAAAGGCUUUUUAAAUUGUCAAGUUUCAAAUAUUUAGUUACCGAGAUAUGAUUAUGAGUUAUUAAAUAGUAAAAUGAAUAAAAAUUCGCAAUUUGAAGGAAUGUUCCUAAGGGUCCCAACGAAGUCUUAAUUGGAGUUAGCGAAUCUUUUUGAAUUGGAAUUGAUUGUUUUAUCACAUUGUGAUAUUUUACAUCGUUCAAUGGACCCAUUCGAAAUAAUUAGAUGAUGAUAAAAUUAUCAAAACUUGGCAUUCCUUAUUUUUAUUCAACAACGUACGAAUAGUUCCUUGAUUUGUCUAAGCGAUUGUUCAACCCCUGCCUUGCCAAACACGGAAUAAAACGGAUUGCUAUUGGUGCGAGCUGAACCAUUAUCAGAAAUUAAUCCUGAACCCGACGGAUGAUCCCUUUUUCUGAGAUACGAAAUAUUGGAUUUCACUAAGUUGAUUCUUAGGAAAUUUUCGAAUCAGACCAUUUGUACGUACUUCAACAAAGGAAGCACAAACCUUUCGACGGAAGAACUUUUGUUGUCUUGGUCCCAAUUCAACACUAAACACGUCCGAACUAAUUGAAGACUUGUAUCAGAAAUUCCCCAGCGGCUUUGCCCUUCCCAUAAAGGACAUAAUUGACAACUCGAAAUUGCAUAUUAUCCUUUUCCCGCAGCGGAUCCUGGGAAAGAGUGUUGCUAAAUUUAUACCGUUCGCUAUUUCAUAUGUGACUACGGUCGAACCAAAACAAAAGACUUUUUCUUGUAGGUGUGAUCCGUUGAACAUAGAUCCACUUUUUCAAUUUUUUUGAUUCCUUAGUGGCUUCCUUAAGUUUUGUUUUUUUUUCUGGCGGUAUCAGGAUGCCACUGUGUCGGGAUAUCUUAUCUAUCUCUCCGGGAAAAUGGAUAUCUCCCGAAAAUAUUUUUAGUUCAACCCCUCCCCUUUUUCUCUCCAUUCGGACCAAUCCGCCCACCCGGCUUCGUAUAUUUAAAGUGAUUUGUGUGUCUACUCAAUGAUACUAUUAUUCCGUACCAUUAGGUAAGAAGAUUCGGGAAAAAUAUGCACUUCCUCCGGAAUGAAAAAAGGGCGAUCUAUUUUCAUUUGGUAUUUUGGCUUAAUUUUUUGAGUCCUCGAUACUCAAUCAAGUCCUCUUUUUUAACGAUUGAAUGCGCCCCAGAGUCCCCAUUUAGUAAUUCCGGAACUCUUUCUUCUGUAUCGAGGAUCGUCGAAAUAAGCAAGAAUACUAUUUCUACGGAAAUACCCCUUACGGGUAUUUCAAUCGAGAUACCUGAAUGGGGCAUUAGCAAUCGAGUGGAAUGGAAUAAGAAAUCCAUUUCUUGCCUUUUGCCAAUAAAUCCGAAUUUGCGUGGAGAAUUGCACAAUGACCAGUACUUAUGAUUCUAUUAAAUCCCGAAUAAUCAGACAUCUCAAGAAUUCUUCAGAGAAGCAUCUUGGGCGCGGUUAAAUUAACUUCCGGUGGCUCAUUGGUCCAAAGCCCACGGAAGGAUUGACACUGAUUUUUCUGCUAAAAUCGAAUUCUGAUGUCUGAUUAAUUCAUUGUGGGCUGGAUUCAUAAUGCCCAUUCAAUCUCGAUUGAAAUACCCCCGUAGAAAUAGAUUUCGACGAUCCUCGAUAUAGGGGGGACAUGUUAAAUUGAUGAGUAUCGAGGACUCAAAGCGCCUUGGAGGAAGUGCAUAUUUUUCCCGAAUUCUUACCUAAUGGUACGGAAUAAUAGUAUCAUUGGAGUAGACACACAAAUCACUUUAAAUAUACGAAGCGGGUGGGCGGAUUGGUCCGAAUGGAGAGAAAAAGGGAGGGGUUGAACUAAAAAUAUUUUCGGGAGAUAUCCAUUUUCCCGGAGAGAUAGAUAAGAUAUCAAUCCUGAUACCGCCAGAAAGUGAAAAACAAAAUUAAGGAAGCCACUAAGGAAUCAAAAAAUUGAAAAAGUGGAUCUAUGUUCAACGGAUCACACCUACAAAGAAAAAGUCUUUUGUUUUGGUUCGACCCGUAGUCACAUAUGAAAUAGCGAACGGUAUAAAUUAGCAACACUCUUUCCCCAGGAUCCGCUGCGGGAAAAGGAUAAUAUGCAAUUUCGAGUUGUCAAUUAUGUCCUUUAUGGGAAGGGCAAAGCCGCUGGGGGAAUUUCUGAUACAAGUCUUCAAUUAGUUCGGACGUGUUAGUGUUGAAUUGGGACCAAGACAACAAAAGUUCUUCCGUCGAAGAGGUUUGUGCUUCCUUUGUUGAAGUACGUACAAAUGGUCUGAUUCGAAAUUUCCUAAGAAUCAACUUAGUGAAAUCCAAUAUUUCGUAUCUCAGAAAAAGGGAUCAUCCGUCGGGUUCAGGAUUAAUUUCUGAUAAUGGUUCAGCUCGCACCAAUAGCAAUCCGUUUUAUUCCGUGUUUGGCAAGGCAGGGGUUGAACAAUCGCUUAGACAAAAUCAAGGAACUAUUCGUACGUUGUUGAAUAAAAAUAAGGAAUGCCAAGUUUUGAUAAUUUUAUCAUCAUCUAAUUAUUUUCGAAUGGGUCCAUUGAACGAUGUAAAUAUCACAAUGUGAUAAAACAAUCAAUUCCAAUUCAAAAAGAUUCGCUAACUCCAAUUAAGACUUCGUUGGGACCCUUAGGAACAUUCCUUCAAAUUGCGAAUUUUUCAUUUUACUAUUUAAUAACUCAUAAUCAUAUCUCGGUAACUAAAUAUUUGAAACUUGACAAUUUAAAAGCCUUUUCAAGUACUUAAAUAUUAUUUAAUGGACGAAACCGGGGAAAUUUAUAAUCCUGAUACAGAUAGUAAGAUCCUUUUGAAUCCAUUUAAUUUGAAUUGGUAUUUUCCAGCCUAAUUAUUGUGAGGAAAUGUCCCCGAUAAUUAGUCUUGGGCAGUUUCUUUGUGAAAAUGUACGUAUAACCAAAAGGGGACCAUACCUAAAAUCCGGUCAAGUUUUAAUUGUUCAAGUUAACUCUGUAGUAAUACGAUCAGCUAAGCCUUAUUUGGCUACUCCUGGAGCAACUGUUCAUGGCAUUAUGGAGCAAUCCUUUACGAAGGGGAUACAUUAGUUACAUUUAUAUAUGAAAAAUCGAGAUCUGGUGAUAUAACGCAGGGUCUUCCAAAAGUAGAACAGGUGUUAGAAGUGCGUUCGCUUGAUUCAAUAUCGAUGAACCUAGAAAAGAGAGUUGAGGGUUGGAACGCGAGUAUAACAAGAAUUCUUGGAUUCCCUGGGAUUCUUGAUUGGUGCUGAGCUAACUAUAGUGCAAAGUCGUAUCUCUUUGGUUAAUAAUCCAAAAGGUUUAUCGAUCGCAGGGGGUGCAGAUCCAUAAUAGGCAUAUAGAAAUUAUUGUACGUCAAAUAACAUCAAAAGUUUUAGUUUCCGAAGAUGGAAUGUCUAAUAUUUUUUUACCCGGCGAACUGAUUGGAUUGUUACGAGCGAACGAAUGGGGCGCGCUUUGGAAGAAGUGAUCUGUUAUCGAGCUAUCUUAUUGGGAAUAACGAGAGCGUCUCUGAAUACUCAAAGUUUUAUAUCCGAAGCAAGUUUUCAAGAAACCACGCGAGUUUUAGCAAAAGCUGCUCUCCGAGGUCGUAUCGAUUGGUUGAAAGGCCUGAAAGAAAACGUUGUUCUGGGGGGGAUAAUACCAGUCGGUACCGGAUUCAAAGGAUUAGUCCACUGUUCAAGGCAGCAUAACAACAUUCUUUGGAAAGACAAAAGGGGAAUUCGGGGGGGGAAAUGAGAGAUAUUUUCUUACACCACAGAGAAUUAUUUGAUCGUGCAUUUCAACGACUUUCCAUGAUACAUCAGAGCACAAUUGCUUAGAGGGUUUAAUGAGUCCUAGGAGCGAAUUCUUUUAACUAUUUGUGAUCAUUUGAUUUUUUAAUGGUACGAAAAGAAAGAUAAUAAUGAAUAGAACGAAGGAUAAUAAUGAAUAGAAAGUAAUGAAUGGCCUGGGUCGUGUAUCAAUGGUCACUCUCUGGUAGAAGAGAAGGUUCCCUCGGAACAAUUAUUUAUUUCAGGGCGCCUCGUCUCUUAAAAAAAAAGAGGAAGUGGGGGAGAAAUGGCAAGAAGGUAUUGGAACAUCCAUUUGGAAGAGAUGAUGGAAGCAGGAAUUCAUUUUGGUCAUGGUACUCGGAAAUGGAAUCCUAGAAUGGCACCUUAUAUAUCUGCAAAACAUAAAGGUAUUCAUAUUACAAAUCUGACUCGAACUGCUCGGUUUUUAUCAGAAGCUUGUGAUUUAGUUUUUGAUGCAGCAAGUAGGGGAAAACAAUUCUUAAUUGUUGGUACUAAAAAUAAAGCAGCUGAUUUAGUCGCGCGAGCUGCAAUAAGGGCUCGGUGCCAUUAUGUUAAUCAAAAAUGGCUCGGCGGUAUGUUAACCAAUUGGUCCACUACAGAAACGCGACUUCACAAGUUCAGGGAUUUGAGAACGGAACAAAAAGGGGGAGACUCGACAGUCUUCCCAAAAGGGAUGCCGCUAUUUUGAAGAGACAAUUAUCGCGUCUGCAAACGUAUCUGGGCGGGGAUUAAAUAUAUGACGAGGGUACCCGAUAUUGUAAUCGUCGUUGAUCAGCAAGAAGAAUAUACGGCUCUUCGAGAAUGUAUCACUUUGGGAAUUCCAACAAUUUGUUUAAUCGAUACAAAUUGUGACCCCGAUCUCGCAGAUAUUUCGAUUCCAGCAAACGAUGACGCUAUAGCCUCAAUCCGAUUAAUUCUUAACAAAUUAGUAUUCGCAAUUUGUGAGGGUCGCUCUAGCUAUAUACGAAAUCCUUGAUUAAUAAUAAGAUAAAUAAAUUAUUUUGGUAACUCCAUAGAUUUAUGGAUUGGGUACUAUUCCUGAAUUGCACAAAAGAAAAAGAGACAAACUGGAUAUUAUGCAAUUAGCAGAUAUUCAAAAUAUACAAUUCAAGUAGACAAGUCGAAAAGAAGAUGGUUGAAUCAAAAUAAUUCUUUUAAAAUUUCUAUUUCGGUCAGAGGGCAAUAUGAAUGUUCUAUCAUGUUCCAUGAAUACACUAAGGGGGUUAUACGAUAUAUCCGGUGUGGAAGUAGGCCAACAUUUCUAUUGGCAAAUAGGUGGGUUCCAGGUCCAUGCCCAAGUACUUAUUACUUCUUGGGUUGUAAUUGCUAUCUUAUUAGGUUCAGCCUUUAUAGCCGUUCGGAAUCCACAAACCGUUCCGACUGCCACUCAAAAUUUCUUCGAAUAUGUCCUUGAAUUCAUUCGAGACGUGAGCAAAACUCAGAUUGGAGAAGAAUAUGGCCCAUGGGUUCCCUUUAUUGGAACUCUGUUUCUUUUUUAUUUUGUUUCUAAUUGGUCAGGUGCUCUUUUACCUUGGAAAAUCAUAGAGUUACCUCAUGGGGAGUUAGCCGCACCCACGAAUGAUAUAAAUACUACCGUUGCUUUAGCUUUGCUCACGUCAAUAGCAUACUUCUAUGCGGGUCUUUCCAAAAAGGGAUUAGGCUAUUUCAGUAAAUACAUUCAACCGACUCCAAUUCUUUUACCCAUUAACAUUUUAGAAGAUUUCACAAAACCUCUAUCACUUAGUUUUCGACUUUUUGGGAAUAUAUUAGCCGAUGAAUUAGUAGUUGUUGUUCUUGUUUCUUUAGUACCUUUAGUGGUUCCUAUACCCGUCAUGUUCCUUGGAUUAUUUACAAGCGGUAUUCAAGCUCUUAUUUUUGCAAACUUUAGCUGCGGCUUAUAUAGGCGAAUCUAUGGAGGGACAUCAUUGACUCGUUUUCGAAAUAGUCUUUUUUUGUAGCUUAGAACAAAGGCAAUGGAUGCGUAACUCAAGAUAAUCUACUUAUACUUCUACUUAGGAAAAUACAUAUCCAAACAUAAAUCUACAAAUACCGCAUAUACGAUCAAGAGUCGUAGAAAAAAAAUUACGAUAUUGGGGAAUUGUAGGAAAGAGAUCUAAAGGAUCUUUUUCCUCAAAUUCCUCUUUGGCCUUAUUAUAUCAUCCCCCCUCUCCCCGCCAAUUAAUAUUUUCUUUAUAUUGUUUUGUUCAUUUUUGUUCAUUCAAUUCGAAUAGCAAAUACAAGAGUGAUAAGUUGAAUAAAAAUUCUUAUAGUAUCACAGGCGGGUGAUUAAAAAAAAAGAAAAGAAAGAUGCUUUAUAAAAAUAAUUCCCCUUUUAGUUGCUUUUAGUCAAUUCUUCAAUUCAACGAUUGACCAAAAGAGAAUAUUAAUAUAAUAAAUUGCAUGGCCGUACCUCAAUCAAAUACUGAUAUUUAGUUCUAUGCAAUGAUUCGCCCCAAUGAAUUCGUCUAUUUCGAUUGUAGCCUGGUGGAUAAUGAUAACGAAAAGGAAUAGAAAAAAAAAAAAAGAGAUUUAUAAAAAACGGGUGAUUCGGCGAGGGGUACAUAAUUAGGUAUAUGGAAUCAAAUGCCAACUCUUGUGUAUUUUUGAGUUUUAAAAGGGGUUCGAGAAUACGAUUGACUUUAAGAUACGAAUACUUGGAGUCUAAGAUAUUAAUAGUUGGUUUACGUUCUGUAAGAAAGACAUGUAUAUGGGAUAUUAGAUAUUGCUAGUUAUAUAUGAACUAAAGAUAUAUCUAAUCCACCCUACUCUUGUGAUUAUUGUGAAUUUCGAUAGGGAUUCUAAUAGAAAUUUAGAAAUUGUUCGAUUUCGUCUUUGCUUUGAUGCUUUGACUGGGAAUUGAAUCAAUAAAAAUAAAGAGAUGAAAGAAAGAAAACGAACGAAGAAUUCAAAAAAGGGUUCCGAAAAAGAAAUGGAAGAACAAAAGUCGUAUGGAUUUACAAAAAUCCUGUGUUGUGCCUGUGGAUCGAAACUAAAAAAGAGAUAUCUAAAAAGUUUUGAUGGUUCAAUAAUAAUAUUAUUAUUACGCCAAUUGGGAGUUCUUAGUUACUUCGGCUGGGCGAAUCCUAGUGACGGAAUAAUUAAGUCAUAAUUUAUUGGACGAUUGUAUCAUUAACGAUUUCUUUAGUUUUUCUUUAUUUUAGUGCGAGGGACUUAUCAUGAAUCCACUGAUUUCUGCCGCUUCCGUUAUUGCUGCUGGGUUGGCUGUUGGGCUUGCUUCUAUUGGACCUGGAGUUGGUCAAGGUACUGCUGCGGGCCAGGCAGUAGAAGGGAUCGCGAGACAGCCCGAGGCAGAGGGAAAAAUACGAGGUACUUUAUUGCUUAGUCUGGCUUUUAUGGAAGCUUUAACAAUUUAUGGGCUGGUUGCAUAGCACUUUUAUUUGCGAAUCCUUUUGUUUAAUCCUAGAAAUAGGAAGGGCAAUUUACUUAUUUUUUUUCUCUUAUUUAUUAUAUCCGUGUUUCUGGCUUUUUUGAAUUCUAUCAAGAUUUAACUCCUCCAAUUGGAAGGACUGAUUUGAGGAUGGGGAAUUAGGAUAGGCAUACCAGUUCGCCUUUUUCUUUCCCUUUCUUAGUCUAAAGGAAACCCUCUUUUUAAGUGAUGCUGCAACAAACGAGGGUUUGCAAUGGACAGGAGUCCCCCCUAAUACUAAUAAGUAUCCCUCUUAUCGGAAUCCCCAAUUGCCAAUUCAAAGAAAGGAUUUCGAAAUCGAAUUUUUGACCCUGUUUCGAAAUAGGUAAAUUACUAAAAAAACAAAUAAAUUAAAUAAAUAUAUAUUACGUAGAAAAAAAAAAGAACUGCGUUCUUUUUUUUUUUUAGUCUAUCUAAAAGAGGAGAUCAUAUGAAAAUGUAACCGAUUCUUUCGUUUCUUUGGUUAACUGGCCAUUCGCCGGAGUUUCGGGCUUAAUACCGAUAUUUUAGCAACAAAUCCAAUAAAUCUAAGUGUAGUGCUUGGUGUAUUGAUCUUUUUUUGAAAGGGAGUGUGUGCGAGUUGUUUAUUUCAAGAAUAGGCUGGACCCAACCAGCUGCACUUUUUUUCGUUAUAACUAGGACCAAAGGGAAAAGGGUGCAUGAUUCCGCGAAUUACUUCUGAAUAAAUUUCAAAUCAUAUUUAAGAACCAUAGCAUUUCGUGAUUUGUUGGUAAAUCUAUUUUGAUUCUCUAUUAACCAAACCAAUAAUGUGGACCAUUAACAUGGUUAAAGCUAAAGUUUGAAGUCCAGACACAGCACGGUACUCUUUCUACUACUAUGUUUUACUAUAGAAUAGAAAUGUUUUCAAAAUGAAUAAUUAAUAAAUGAAUAAUUAAUAAUAAUUAUUGACUUUUUUUUUUCGAUAUAAAACACUCAUGUUGAUAAAAAGAUUUGAGCCUUUUAUUGGUAUUGGAAAUUGAUUGGAAAAUAUUGGAAAAAUAGGUAUUUCAACCAACCCUUAUUUAUGCUGAAUCGAUGACCUCCAUAUAAAGUAAGAAGAAUUCUUUGGAUUUGAAGAAAAAAAGAAACAACUUUGCUGACAAUUAUAUAUUUUGAUUUGGUCAGAAGAGUCCUCCGAAUAUUCUGUUCUUGGAUUAGGGAUCAGUCGCAAGAUUCAUUUUGGAAUAUGAAUAGAGAAGAGGGAGAGGAUAGGCUCAUUACAUUAAAAAAAGAUAUGGGAACCCCCCCCAUACAUAAGUAGUUGACGUAAUUGAGUGGGAGAGCCAAAUGAAUCGAAAAAUUCAUGUUUGGUUCGGGAAGGGAUCAUCGAAGUUUUGAGAUGAAUGGAAAGAUAAUCUACUUUCAUUAAGUGAUUUAUUAGAUAAUCGCAAACUGAGGAUUUUGAAUAGUAUUCGAAAUUCAGAAGAACUGCAGAGAGGGGCCAUUGAACGGCUGGAAAAAGCCGGGCCCGGUUACGAAAAAAGAAAUAGAAGCAGAUCAGUUUCGAGUGAAUGGAUACUCUGAGAUAGAACGAGAAAAAUUCAAUUUGAUUAAUUCAACUUAUAAGACUUUGGAUCAAUUAGAAAAUUACAAAAAUGAAACCAUUCAUUUUGAACAACAAAGAGCAAUUAAUCAAGUCCGACAACGGGUUUUCCAACAAGCUUUACAAGGAGCGCUCGGAACUCUGAAUAGUUGUUUGAACAAGGAGUUACAUUUACGUACCAUUAGUGCCAAUAUUGGCAUGUUUGGAGCGAUGAAAGAAAUAACUGAUUAGUCCUUUUACUGUAGGCACAUUAUUUUUUUUUUUUUUUUUAAGAAAAAAAAGAAUUAAGAAAUACUUAUGACAACAAUUAAAGCCGACGAAAUUAGUAAUAUUAUCCGCGAACGUAUUGAGCAAUAUAAUAGAGAAGUAAAGAUUGUAAAUAUUGGGACCGUACUUCAAAGUAGGCGACGGCAUCGCCCGUAUUUAUGGUCUUGAUGAAGUAAUGGCAGGUGAAUUAGUAGAAUUUGAAGAGGGUACAAUAGGCAUUGCUCUGAAUUUGGAAUCAACUAAUGUUGGUGUGUUUUAAUGGGUGACGGUUUAAUGAUACAAGAAGGAAGUUCUGUAAAAGCAACCGGAAAAAUUGCUCAGAUACCAGUAAGCGAGGCUUAUUUAGUCGUGUUAUAAAUGCCCUGGCUAAACCUAUUGAUGGUCGAGGUGAAAUUUCAGCUUCUGAAUCUCGAUUAAUUGAAUCCCCUGCUCCGGUAUUAUUUCGAGACGUUCCGUAUAUGAGCCUCUUCAAACAGGACUUAUUGCUAUUGAUUCGAUGAUCCCUAUCGGACGCGGUCAGCGAGAAUUAAUUAUUGGGGACAGACAGACCGGUAAAACGGCAGUAGCCACGGAUACGAUU